GACGAACGCUGGCGGCGUGCCUAAUACAUGCAAGUUGAGCGAUGAAGAUUGGUGCUUGCACCAAUUUGAAGAGCAGCGAACGGGUGAGUAACGCGUGGGGAAUCUGCCUUUGAGCGGGGGACAACAUUUGGAAACGAAUGCUAAUACCGCAUAACAACUUUAAACAUAAGUUUUAAGUUUGAAAGAUGCAAUUGCAUCACUCAAAGAUGAUCCCGCGUUGUAUUAGCUAGUUGGUGAGGUAAAGGCUCACCAAGGCGAUGAUACAUAGCCGACCUGAGAGGGGGAACCGCCACAUUGGGACUGAGACACGGCCCAAACUCCUACGGGAGGCAGCAGUAGGGAAUCUUCGGCAAUGGACGAAAGUCUGACCGAGCAACGCCGCGGGAGUGAAGAAGGUUUUCGGAUCGUAAAACUCUGUUGGUAGAGAAGAACGUUGGUGAGAGUGGAAAGCUCAUCAAGUGACGGUAACUACCCAGAAAGGGACGGCUAACUACGUG
rnacentral:rRNA from 1 species